CAGUCUCCUAUCAAAAGGAAACUCACCAUCUGCGGGAAUAUCAGUAUCUCCUUUACUGAUUUUGGAGUAAUUUGCCGAACCCACUCCACCUUCUUGACAAUUUUCUUGAGGUGCCAAAAUUGUCCACACCUUCAAAUCUUUGUGCAUACCAGAUUGGAUACACCUUUGACUUGAAUUCUCCACAAGCCAAUAAAAUCAUUCUCCCAUUAAUUUUCAACAACAUCAAACUUCAACCAAGUUUGAAAAACACCAGCUGCUGAN
rnacentral:lncRNA from 1 species